CGGGCCUGUGCAUGAGCCAUUUUGAAAGUGAAAGUAGGCUCUUCUUAUUUAUGCGCUCGCGCAGCAGAGAGAGUCAGAGUGGAAGAACUCAGACGCUGAAGACGCAGAGCAAUAACGCUCUCUGAAUGGGAAAUUAUCUCCUUUACUAUCAUCAUUAACCAACUACGGGCAAAUCUUCAAAAUCACAACCAUGAAUGCUGAAAAAGCUGUGCAACUGUUCAUUCUGGUUUGGACCUUUACUGCUCUCUGUCAAGCUGAUGAACAUGUCAUUGCAAGCUGUGAUGAUGUGACUGGAUCUGUGGGGAAAGAAGUAACUCUCACCUGCAGUGUCUCUCUUCUGCUCACUGAAUGCUGCAUUGUAAAUUAUAAGUUUCAAUACCCUGAGAGCUUUAAUGACUCCGUAAUCUGUCAAGAUUUUCCUGUGAACUCCUGUGAACUGAGGAAAAGCUUCCCAUGCCGCUACACUCCAACUACAGCAAUGACAGAACAAUUCAGAUUCUUCCUGCAAACAAAUUGUGGAACGAGAAGCACAAAUUUCACUGUGGGCAUAGCAGGUACUGCAUGUUGUUUAUAAUGCAAUAAAUGUUUGCAAUUUUUUGCCAUGUUUAUGGCUUAAUUGUUGCCUGAUCAUGGUUUUUAAAUAGUAACGCAGCUCUCAAGAUAUUUCAAUCAGUUAUUUUUAGAAAUGUGUGAAAUCAGUUUGAUCAGAUGUGUCUGCAUUCUGAUAGGCCGAAGAUGAGUUUAUUAUUUAAACAGUAAUUAAAACAGUUUAAUUGCUUUUUUCCUAGCUCCAAGAAAAGCUGAGGAUCCUCAAUCUAAGUAUGCUAUCAUUGCUGUGGGCUGCUGCAUCAUCCUCAUCAUCAUCACAGUAACAAUCAUUUGGAGUCCGACUCUCUAACCUAAUGGUUAGAGAGUCGGACUCAUAACCCAAAGGUUGUGGGUUCGAGUCUCGUACCGGCAGGGAUUGUAGGUGGGGGGAGUGAAUGUACAGCACUCUCUCCCACCUUCAAUACCACGACUGAGGUGCCCUUGAGCAAGGCACCGAACCCCCAACUGCUCCCCGGGCGCCGCAGCAUAAAUGGCUGCCCACUGCUCCGGGUGUGUGUUCACGGUUUGUGUGUGUUCACUGCUGUGUGUGUGCACUUUGGAUGGGUAAAUGCAGAGCACUAAUUCUGAGUAUGGGUCACCAUACUUGGCCACAUGUCACAUCACUUUACUUUCACUCACUUUAUAAAACAAAACCAAACUUCACCAAACUUUCUGGAUCCCAGAACAGGAUGUGUCUGGUUGUCAAACAUGAUGAGGACAGAAGCGUUCAUCCAGAAGAUAUGAUAUAAUAGCAUUGACUCAGCAGUAUGAAACUAAUGACUUAUGUCUGAUUUUCCCUGUGGUGCUCACAAAAGACACAAGCUUGAUUAUAUCUUAAACUUAAUAUAUAACUCUGGCU
rnacentral:lncRNA from 1 species